rnacentral:lncRNA from 1 species
GAGUGAUAUAAAAGAUGAAACAUUGUGGACUGAAUGUUUGUGUUCCAAAAAAAAAAAAAAAUGCAUACGUUAAAGCCAAGAUCAACAAUAGUAUGAUAUUUGGAGGUGAGGGAAAUAAUUAGGUUAGAUGAGUCAUGAGGGUAAAGCCCCCAUAAUGAGAUUAGAGUCCUUACAAGAAUAAGAAGAGUGAUCUAUUCCUCCCUCUCAACCCCUCAUCCCCCACCAAAAAAAGACCUGUGAGCACACUGUGAGAAGGCAGUUGUCUACAAGCCAGGAAAUGUGCUCUUACCAAGAACUCAACAAACACACUAGCAUCCUGAACUCAGACUUUUUCAGCCUCCAGAACUAUGAAAAAUAAAUGUCUGUUGUUUAAGCCACCCAAUCUUCGGUAUUUUGUGAUAGCAGCCUGAGCUGAUUAAAGACAGAUCUUGUUAUUAUAAAUGGGUUCUGUUACACAACUAUCUAAAAAAUAUGGAAGUGGUUGUGGAACUAAGAGAAAGGAAUUUUGAGGUGCAUGUUAGACACAUGCCAAGCUAGGAGAAGCCAAGAUUGCUGUAAAAGGACUUACAAAGAUGAUUCUGGUUAGGGCUCAGGAAAAAAAGAAAAAAGUUAUACAGAAAGUUUCCAACUCCUUUAAGAAUACAUAAAUAACCAUGAACAGAAUUUUGAAAAAAAAAAUGGAUGGUAAAGGCCAUUCUGAUGAGGUUUCUGAAGGAAAUGUGGAAAAUGUGUUAGACAAUGGAGAAAAGGCUAUCCAUGGUAUAAAGCAGCAAAGAAUUUAGCUGAAUUUUGUUCAUAUUGUAGUGUUUUGUAGGAAGUAAAAUUGGAUAUUUAGCUUAGGAGAUUUCUAAGCAUAGUCAUAAAGAAGUGGCUUGGGUCCUAUUGAUGACUUAUAGUGAAAUAUAAGAAGGAUGAAAUGAAUUGAAGAAUUAUUUGUUCAACAAAACAAACAAUAACAAAAAAUAAACUAGAAGAUUGUUUAUGUGUCACAAAAUGAGAAAGUGUGUUUGGAAGAAAAAUCCAAGGGUAUGGCAAGGUACCAUUGGUAAGAUUAGUGUGGGUGUGAACCAGCAACCUAAUCAGCUCUCAGCAAAAACUCUGCCAGUUUGAACUGAAGGGGACAGAGACAGGAAAAUAUGAAGAAGGCUGUUGACUUCUUAGAUAUCACAGGACUGAAUUACAGAGCUAUUUUCAGGGGUGCCAACACCUCAGUUUCAAUAGACCAGACUGCAGCUGCUCAGAGUCCAGGGAAUGGGGCAGUCUGGAGUCUUGAGGGCACUACUUCCACCUAGCAGUGUCUUUGGGUAAACCAAUACUCAGGAUGCAACUGUACUUGAAAGGCUCAC